rnacentral:rRNA from 1 species
UAGGGAAUCUUCCACAAUGGGCGAAAGCCUGAUGGAGCAACGCCGCGUGUGUGAUGAAGGCUUUCGGGUCGUAAAGCACUGUCGUAUGGGAAGAACAGCUAGAAUAGGAAAUGAUUUUAGUUUGACGGUACCAUACCAGAAAGGGACGGCUAAAUACGUGCCAG